rnacentral:misc_RNA from 1 species
GGGAUCAAGUGCUGAUCUCAAAUCUGAAAAAGCAAACCAUAAAAGAAAAGGUAAAUUUCAUCUUAGUGGCUGCAGACUUCCUUUGAAGUGAAAAAUCAAGAAAUGAAAGAAAUUCCUAAAAAGUGAUAGAAACUCUCCAAACAAAAAAUGCCACUCCUUAUUGUCUAUGUAGUGCGUGUUAUAUGCUAUAUUUAAUACGUAAUAUGUAUAUUAUAUAUAAAUAUACAUAACUUGUAUCAUUAUGUAUAGUAUAUAACACACAAUACAUGAGCAUCUCGCUGAUUAAACUUCUUAUAGUUAUAAUUUUAUCUAUUAGUUCAAAACAACAUCCAUCGAAUGGCAGAUAUUAGAAUAAAUAGAACAAUCCAAGAGAGAAAAGGACAAAAAGCAUUCCAUCAAAAUGAACAGCAUACUGUUAAGUAUGAGCCUAGAAUCAAUCUCUGGAUGCAGAGAUUAACACAGAAAUUUAGAGAUAGAAGAAAUUGAUUGGAUGAGGAGAAGUAGACUAGAUAAGAAAAGAAAAUAGAAUUCAAAGAGAGAAAAAGUAUUCUAUUAUUGAUUCAUCAAUAGAAUAAAUGAAUACAGGUGAGAUACUCCUCCUAUACCAGAGUAGUACAAUUGCUACUCAACUAAUUAAGUUACUCUUAACUGAUUCCCAACAAUAUUUCCCUCCAAAAUAUAUUCUACCCGACACUCUCAACCGUCAAUUACUUAUUUCUCUUUCUUCUCCUAUAAUAUGCAACACACAAAACUUUAACAUAACACCGAUAGUGAAAAGAUAAAACUAAAGAAAAAAUUUCAAUGAAACAAAUUGAUGAUCACGAUGCCAAAAACCUAUGAAUGACAGUUACAUAUAUCUGAGAUGGACUGUCAAACCAUACUUGGUCGUCUGUGCAGGGCCAAUG